AUGCUAGCCAGUAAAAAUAGAAAUGAUUGGUCCAAGGGCUACCAAGCUAUGGGUUCUGGGCUACAAGAUAGACCUGGUGUGAAGGACAUGAGAAGGAUAUUAUCAGUCAGUUACUAUGACCUACCUCCGCAACUAAGAACAUUUUUAUUGUAUAUAAGUUUGUAUCCAGAGGAUUAUAAUAUUGUUGCUAGAGAUUUGAUAUGGCAAUGGAUUGGUGAAGGUUUUAUUCGGGAAGAACAUGGAAAUAGCUUGUAUGAAGUAGGAGAAGACUAUUUCAGCGAGCUCAUUAACAAAGGUUUGAUCCAACCAGCAGAUGUCAGUGAUGAUAAAGAGAGCGCUUGUCGUGUACACGAUAUGGUGCUUGACCUCAUCACUUCCAUUUCAAGGGAAGAGAAUUUUCUAACAUGUAUAGGUGGUCAGCAAUCUGGAUCUGCACCAAGUAAGAUCCGUCGGCUAUCAGUCCAAAGCCUAAAUGAAGACGAUAUCAUGCAAAUGGCAACUAUGAACUUGUCCCGUUUGAGGUCAAACACUGUGUUUGGGCGAGAUAUCAAUUUGUUACCAGCCCUUUCAAGCUUUUCAGUCUUGCGUGCAUUGAACUUAGUUUAUUGUUGGGAUGUGGAUAAUCAUCAUAUUAAGGUUACCUACAGCAUGUUACACUUGAGGUAUUUAUGUCUAUGCAAUACAUCUAUCACUCAGAUACCGGACGAUAUUAGGAAUCUGCGGUUCUUGCAAGUACUAGACAUAAGUGCGACGGCAAUAAAAAUGUUACCAACAUCAUUUUUUCAGCUAACACAACUAGUGUACCUUCAUAUUGGUAUGGGCACGGCCCUGCCAGAACGAUUGGAUAAUUUAAAAUCGCUGCAAGAAUUGCUAGGUAUCAAUAUCGAGUCUCCAUCCAUGCUGCACGAUUUGAGCAAGCUGACGGAAUUGAGGAAUCUUCGUGUUAGGGUUUGUGGAUGGAACGAUGACUAUAAGGAACUUUUUCGGCGGUGUCUGUCCAACCUAAUCAAUCUCAAAAGCAUUAAAUUAAGUGGUGUACAUCGAAACAUAGAUUACGGAAGUGAUAGUUUGUCGCCUGAGCCUCAGCAGCUUCAGUGCAUCCAUCUGGCUGAUAGCAUAAAGUGCGAUGUGCCAAGAUGGAUAUCUUCGCUCUCCAACCUUUCCACCCUUCUAAUCCAGCAUCUAGAAACACUCAGAGAGGAGCACCUUCGAGUGCUUGGCCCCAUGUCAUCACUCUGUGAUCUUCAUAUAUGGGUGGCGCAAACCGCACGAAGCAAAAGGUUGGUGAUUGAUGGCAGUUAUCUGUUUCGGUGUCUCGCAAGGCUGAAAAUCGGGAGUAGCAUCAUGGAGCUGAAGUUUGCACAAGGAUCCAUGCAGAAGCUACAGACCCUUGAGGUUAUUUUAUCAGUGCAGCAGACAUGGGAUCGAUUUGGUGAUUUGGACUUUGUCCUGGAGAACCUCUCUUCACUUAAACAGGUCUAUGUU
rnacentral:rRNA from 1 species